GCCGGGAUGCUGAAAUUGGUAGACAGGCUACGUUGAGGGCGUAGUGCUCGAAAGGGCGUGUGGGUUCGAGUCCCACUCUCGGCACCA
rnacentral:tRNA from 1 species